GGUAGUGGAGCCUCAGCCUCACCACACAGACCAGCCUGGACCUCCAGCCUGCCCCUCUGUCCAGACCUUCAUCCAGUGAGGGUCCAGCAGGUCUGGAGAGGAAUGUGACCAAGCUGGAAGCCGUGGUCAAGAUGCUACAGGAUGACCUGAAGAAGGAGCGUGAGGAGAAGCAGCGUCUCCAUCUGCAGAUCAAAAGGCUCUGGGAGGAUAACCAGCGGCUGCAGGAGGAGUCCCAGAGCUCUGCUGCUAAACUCAAAAAGUUCACAGAGUGGGUCUUCAACACCAUCGACAUGAACUGAGAGACAGAGGAGGAGGAGAGGGUGAUGAUGAUGAGGAGGAGGAGGGUUCUACCACAUUGACCAGAAGAGGAGGGGGAGGAAAAUGAGAAAGGAAAAGAGUAACUGGAAAGAGAGAGGACCAGUAUCAACCCCAAAAACAUUCCCCUUCUCCCUUGCACAAACUGAAGUACUAAUUCCACUCUCCAUGCCUCUUCCUUGUCCCCGGAAGUUUUUAUUUCACUCUCUGAAGUGCCAACUAAGGUUUCCUCUCUCAACUACCCUCUGAAACUCAGGAUUAGCUAGAAGGACAUUCUUCUUUUGUUAAAUAAUGAAGGAUUACUUUCAUACUGUGGGAUUUGAAGGGGAGCUGUGUGUGUAAUUGUGAUGGGCUCUCGGUACUGCCAAGAAAUACUGGAGCUCAGAAGACUAGAGCAUUGUCCUCCUCUCCUCCUCUCCUUCUCUCCUCCCCCACUGUCUGAGCUGACUUCACUCUGGGGGUGGUAGGAAGACUCAGACAUAAAGAGAGACUUGUGUUUUACCCCAAUAGCCAGCCUCUCAGUGGCUGUACAGUACAUCUCUUCAGCUAAGGCUUCAAAGCACGUAAGAGCAAAGGGUAACUGUAACAGCGUAACUGUAACUAAGAGCACAGCGUAACUGUAACUAAGAGCACAGCGUAACUGUAACUAAGAGCACAGCGUAACUGUAACUAAGAGCACAGCGUAACUGUAACAGCCCCAUGUGGAAACCAUGGAAUCUCAUCUCAUCUCCCUGUCUCCACUUUUCCUCCUCUGCAAAUUUGACUUGUCUGAUGCUACCUCUGUCUACACUACCCCAACAAACAGGUAGACAGAUGGACCGAGGGAAGGGGCGGACAAGUAGACAGACAGGCAGACAGGUAGACAGACAGGUAGACAGGCAGGCGGACAGGCAAACA